rnacentral:rRNA from 1 species
GAUGAACGCUAGCGGCAGGCUUAACACAUGCAAGUCGAGGGGUAUGGUUCUUCGGAGCCAGAGACCGGCGCACGGGUGCGUAACGCGUAUGCAAUCUACCUUUUACAGAGGGAUAGCCCAGAGAAAUUUGGAUUAAUACCUCAUAGUAUUAUGAAAUGGCAUCAUUUUAUAAUUAAAGUCACAACGGUAAAAGAUGAGCA